rnacentral:rRNA from 1 species
GACGAACGCUGGCGGCGUGCUUAACACAUGCAAGUCGAACGGAAAGGCCCUGCUUUUGUGGGGUGCUCGAGUGGCGAACGGGUGAGUAACACGUGAGUAACCUGCCCUUGACUUUGGGAUAACUUCAGGAAACUGGGGCUAAUACCGGAUAGGAGCUCCUGCUGCAUGGUGGGGGUUGGAAAGUUUCGGCGGUUGGGGAUGGACUCGCGGCUUAUCAGCUUGUUGGUGGGGUAGUGGCUUACCAAGGCUUUGACGGGUAGCCGGCCUGAGAGGGUGACCGGCCACAUUGGGACUGAGAUACGGCCCAGACUCCUACGGGAGGCAGGAGUGGGGAAUAUUGCACAAUGGGCGGAAGCCUGAUGCAGCAACGCCGCGUGCGGGAUGACGGCCUUCGGGUUGUAAACCGCUUUCGCCUGUGACGAAGCGUGAGUGACGGUAAUGGGUAAAGAAGCACCGGCUAGCUACGUG